rnacentral:rRNA from 2 species
AACUGCGAGUGAAGCGGGAAAAGCUCAAAUUUAAAAUCUGGCGGUCCUUGGCCGUCCGAGUUGUAAUUUAGAGAAGCGUCUUCCGCGCCGGACCGUGCACAAGUCUCCUGGAAUGGAGCGUCGUAGAGGGUGAGAAUCCCGUCUUUGGCAUGGACACCCGGUGCUUCUGUGAUGCGCUCUCGAAGAGUCGAGUUGUUUGGGAAUGCAGCUCAAAAUGGGUGGUGAACUCCAUCUAAAGCUAAAUAUUGGCGAGAGACCGAUAGCGAACAAGUACCGUGAGGGAAAGAUGAAAAGCACUUUGGAAAGAGAGUGAAACAGUACGUGAAAUUGUUGAAAGGGAAACGCUUGAAGUCAGUCGCGUCGACCGAGACUCAGCCUUGCCUUGGCUUGGUGUACUUCUCGGCUUGACGGGUCAGCGUCGAUUUUGCCCCUCGGAUAAUGGCAAGGGAAAGGUGGCACCUUUGCGGGUGUGUUAUAGUCUCCUGUCGCAUGUGAGGGGUGAGAUCGAGGAACUCAGUGCGCGCCUCUGGCGUCGGGGCUUUKU